CUCACAUCUUAAUGCUCCAUUUCACCGGGGCAUGUUCUCAGUCCAUCAGACUGCAGGCUAGAGUCCAAACUUGCUAUUUAUCAGGGUUUCUUGUCUUCCAAGCCAUUAAAAAUUUAUGCAAACCAGUGCAGUGGUUGGCAAAGGCUCCUGUUUCUCCCCCUGCUGCAACGGGAUGAGGAUGGCAGUUCUCCCUGUGAUAUUGCAAACAUCCCAGCUGCGAGGGAGGAGGUUGUUCUGAAACAAAGCCUUGACCAGGCGCGAAACAGCAAGGAUUGUGCCCAAGGAUUUUCCUGUAGAUAUUGUGAGCGAACAUGGAGCCAGUGGAGAGAAGAGCUGAAUCUGCAGAAGACAUUGCAGCAGCAGCGAUGGCUCCCAAACCAGUAAUGGAGAUGUAUGCUGGGCAGAGAUGUUGUAAAACAAGUGGGAGGAUCAUUGCUGACUCCCCUCUCUCAAAUGGACUUGGAAGACCAUAGCUUGUCUGAUUCCAGUCUUUAAAACAAAACAAGGAAAAGUCACAACAAAUCCUUUGUGAACAUUUCUGCUGGCUUUGAAAUUGUCUUUUCACAGGGGCCAGUCACAAAGGGCUAGGAACUGGGGCCCACUCAGUAUUUUAGGACUUAGAUUGAUUUUUUUUUUGUUCUUUUGUGAACUUUUGUGAUUCCCUUUAGCAUGCUGCAACUCCCACUAGAUCAAAAAUUUCUUUUUUCCUCAGCAGCACCUAUAGAAAUGGGUGUGCUUUGUGUGAUUCCAGAAUUGAGACUAUUAAAGAUCAACCUGUAUACACUGCUCAUGAGGAGAAGGGAAUUGGAUGAAAUCAUGACUUGAGCUGAUUUCCUUAAAUGUUCAGUGAUCUG